rnacentral:rRNA from 1 species
UACAGAGGUGGCAAGCGUUGUUCGGAAUUACUGGGCGUAAAGGGCGCGUAGGCGGUUCGAUAAGUCCCGUGUGAAAGCCCCCGGCUCAACUGGGGAACUGCACGGGAAACUGACGGACUUGAGUUCGGGAGAGGGAAGCGGAAUUCCGGGUGUAGCGGUGAAAUGCGCAGAUAUCAGGAGGAACACCGGUGGCGAGGGCGGAUCUCUGGGCCAUUACUGACGCUGAGGAGCGAAAGCGUGGGGAGCGAACAGG